GUGAAGCGUACACCAACUGUUUGGCGUAACGCUUGAGAGAAAAAACCACAAACAAGGAGAUGGGUAUGCUCAAAAUCAACGUAACUACAACAGUAAGUAUCAGAUUCUUCAAAAUAUAACCAGAAUCAGACAGGAAUAAGUUGAAAAACAAAACCCUAUUUUCUGUUUUGACGCAAGAAUCAGUGCGGAUAUCAUAGCUAAAAGCGGAAACAGAGGAAGGGGGAUUAGGGUUUCGAUUGAUGGAAGCGAAUAUACCGAAAGCGAAAGUGGAGAUGACGAAGAGGAGAAAGAGGAGGAGAAAAGUGAGGUCUUUGAUGGGUCGAGGUGAGUAGUUGUAAGUGAUGGUGGUGGGGUAGUGGGAGGAUGAUGAUGGGUCGGAUUCAGAUGGUGGGGGAGAGUGGUGGUGGUGGAAUUCGUCGAUGUAGGGGAAGAGUCGAGGUUUGGAUGGUGGGUCGGGUGACUUUCCGGUGACGUCGUCGGAGCUAGCCAUGAGGGUUAGAAGCUGGGGUCAAUGUUGAUGGACUUGAUUCAUAGAGUGAAUUGGAGAAGGAUAUGGUUGCAUGUUGUUAGCCACAUGGAUCACAUGGCUGAUUGGAUCUUGGUUGUGUAGUUAGGUUCUUUUCAAAAUUAAUGUCUUGUUUGACCCACUAAGUUAUGUUCAUAAAAUAAAAUCAUCAAGAUGGUGUUUGCGUGAUGAAAAAGUAAACAUACAUACCAAAUUGAGGGAUAUUUUGAUUACUUGAUUUCCUGCACAUUUUUUUUGUGUGCUUUUGCAUUGAAUGUUGUCAAAUGUCAAGUUGUGAUGUUCUUUCUUGUUGGGAAGACAUCAACACAUUGACCAUGUUCUCCUUUUCUUGUGUUGUGAGAAUGCUUUCUUGGGUUUGGAUGUGUGCUUUUUAAUUUGAUAUGGGUUUUAUAAUCGGUGUUGUUUGAGGUUAUGUGUUCAUGAACCAUCUUUUAUGGUUUUUAGGUUAAACCGUGAGU
rnacentral:lncRNA from 1 species